UACGUAGGGUGCAAGCGUUAAUCGGAAUUACUGGGCGUAAAGCGUGCGCAGGCGGUUGUGCAAGACAGAUGUGAAAUCCCCGGGCUCAACCUGGGAACUGCAUUUGUGACUGCACGGCUAGAGUGUGUCAGAGGGGGGUAGAAUUCCACGUGUAGCAGUGAAAUGCGUAGAUAUGUGGAGGAAUACCGAUGGCGAAGGCAGCCCCCUGGGCCAACACUGACGCUCAUGCACGAAAGCGUGGGGAGCAAACAGG
rnacentral:rRNA from 1 species